CUCGAGAUUUAUGACACCAGGUCAUGGAGCACAGGACUCAUUGUCUCUGGUGGAGACAAGCAGCUCUGAAGAUAUCAGGCUGGUGUUUCCCUCACGAGGAGGCAGCUGGCCUGUGGGAGCUGACGAGAGUCCAGCGUGCAGAGCUGCAGGAAGGAAUGCGAAGACAGCAGGCAACAGCCAGCUCCAGCUCUUCCCAAGGAACAGCCACACCGCCUCCUGCACUCCCAUCAGCCUACAGAUGCCUGCUCCCUCGAGUCCAAGUGAGUCUAAGGUCCAUCACCGCCCAACGUGGUCCCCUGGGGAAAGAGCUGUAACACUUAACCCGGAGGAUUCACACUCAAGUCCUGUGCAGUCCACAGCACCCCUAUUCAGGGAAAACUUGAACUAUGGAGCACGCACCCUUUUUUCUUUUUUAAUUUCAUUUGAGACAAAUGCUCAUUAAAAUUGUCCAGGUUGGUCUCGAACUCGUAAUCUUCCUCCUUCUGUGUUGGGAUUACAAGUGAUAUUUCCAAUACAUACAUUAAGUAAAACUGUAGCUUCACUGAUCCAAGUGGAAGUCAGAGAAGCCCCUUCCCCUCUGAGGAUGUCCUGUUGGCUACACUGAUUCAGAACUAUUGGCAGGACUGUAAGAGCCCUGAAUGUCAACUUAGGUCUCUCAUAUUCCAGUCUGAGUGUUCUCACUUAGACUGUGGCUUUCACUCAAGCUACAAAUAAUUUAAAGAGCAAAAUGAAAAGAGAUGACUUUUUGGAGACGGGAAUGGGAUCUGGGGAAUGAGAGAGAGGGGUGGGUGAGGUAAAGGAAGGUAAAAAUGAUCAAGAUGUGAGAUAUAUAUUUCUCCCCCAAAACAAAUAUAAUCACAGUUGGUACCUUGGUUCCCAAACUUAAUUCUUUCCACAAUACUGGCCAUAAACCAAAUGAGAGAAGAACAGAAUCAAAUUUCCCCAUAAGGUCAAUCGUGAACCUAACCGCUGAAUUUGAUUCAGUUCUCG
rnacentral:lncRNA from 1 species